ACUCCUACGGGAGGCAGCAGUGGGAAUCUUAGACAAUGGGCGCAAGCCUGAUCUAGCCAUGCCGCGUGAUCGAUGAAGGCCUUAGGGUUGUAAAGAUCUUUCAGCUGGGAAGAUAAUGACGGUACCAGCAGAAGAAGCCCGCUGACUCAGCUGCCAGCAGCCGCGGUAAUACGGAGGGCGGUAGCGUUGUUCGGAAUUACUGGGCGUAAAGCGCGCGUAGGCGGACUGGAAAGUCAGAGGUGAAAUCCAGGCUGC
rnacentral:rRNA from 1 species